UACGGGGGGUGCAAGCGUUAAUCGGAUUUACUGGGCGUAAAGAGCUCGUAGGCGGCACGUUAAGUUGGAUGUGAAAGCCCAGGGCUUAACCUUGGAAUAGCAUACAAAACUGGCGAGCUUGAGUAAGGGAGAGGAGAGUGGAAUUUCCGGUGUAGCGGUGAAAUGCACAGAUAUCGGAAGGAACACCAAUGGCGAAGGCAACAUUCUGGACUAAUACUGACACUGAGGGACGAAAGCGUGGGGAUCAAACAGG
rnacentral:rRNA from 1 species